rnacentral:rRNA from 1 species
CCUACGGGUGGCUGCAGUGAGGAAUAUUGGUCAAUGGACGAGAGUCUGAACCAGCCAAGUAGCGUGAAGGAUGACUGCCCUAUGGGUUGUAAACUUCUUUUAUAUGGGAAUAAAAUGUUCCACGUGUGGGAUUUUGUAUGUACCAUAUGAAUAAGGAACGGCCAACCCCGCGCCAGCAGCCGCGGUAAUACGGAGGAUCCGGGCGUUAUCCGGAUUUAUUGGGUUUAAAGGGAGCGUAGGUGGAUUGUAAAGUCAGUGGUGAAAGUUUGCGGCGCAACCGUAAAAUUGCAGUUGAAACUGGCAGUCUUGAGUACGGUAGAGGUGAGCGGAAUUCGGGGUGUAGCAGUGAAAUGCUUAGAUAUCACGAAGAACACCGAUUGCGAAGGCAGCUCACUGGACUGCAACUGACACUGAGGCUCGAAAGUGUGGGUAUCAAACGGGAUUAGAUACCCUUGUAGUC